AGCAGCCGCGGUAAUUCCAGCUCCAAUAGCGUAUAUUAAAGUUGUUGCAGUUAAAAAACUCGUAGUUGAAUUUCGGGGUCAGUAGGUUGGUCAUGCCUUCGGUAUGUACUGGUCUCACUGAUUCCUCCUCUUGAAGAACCGUAAUGUCAUUAAUUUGAUGUUGCGGGGAAACAGGACUGUUACUUUGAAAAAAUUAGAGUGUUUAAAGCAGGCUCACGCUUGAAUACAUUAGCAUGGAAUAAUGAAAUAGGACGUUCGAUCCUAUUUUGUUGGUUUCUAGGAUUGACGUAAUGAUUAAUAGGGAUAGUUGGGGGCAUUAGUAUUCAAUUGUCAGAGGUGAAAUUCUUGGAUUUUAUUGAAGACUAACUACUGCGAAAGCAUUUGCCAAGGAUGUUUUCAUUAAUCAAGAACGAAAGUUAGGGGAUCGAAGACGAUCAGAUACCGUCGUAGUCUUAACCAUAAACUAUGCCGACUAGGGAUCGGAUGAUGUUAAUUUUAAUGACUCAUUCGGCGCCUUACG
rnacentral:rRNA from 1 species